CCUACGGGAGGCAGCAGUGAGGAAUAUUGGUCAAUGGGCGAGAGCCUGAACCAGCCAAGUCGCGUGAGGGAAGACGGUCCUAUGGAUUGUAAACCUCUUUUGCCGGGGCGCAAAAAGCGGUACGUGUACCGCAUCGAGAGUACCCGGAGAAAAAGCAUCGGCUAACUCCGUGCCAGCAGCCGCGGUAAUACGGAGGAUGCGAGCGUUAUCCGGAUGUAUUGGGUUUAAAGGGUGCGCAGGCGGCGAGUUAAGUCAGCGGUAAAAUUUCGGGGCUCAACCCCGACGAGCCGUUGAAACUGGCGUGCUAGAGUGUGCGAGAAGUAUGCGGAAUGCGUGGUGUAGCGGUGAAAUGCAUAGAUAUCACGCAGAACUCCGAUUGCGAAGGCAGCAUACCGGCGCCCAACUGACGCUCAGGCACGAAAGCGUGGGUAUCGAACAGGAUUAGAUACCCGGGUAGUC
rnacentral:rRNA from 1 species